rnacentral:rRNA from 1 species
UUUAUUGGAGAGUUUGAUCCUGGCUCAGGAUGAACGCUGGCGGCGUGCCUAAUACAUGCAAGUCGAGCGAAUGGAUUAAGAGCUUGCUCUUAUGAAGUUAGCGGCGGACGGGUGAGUAACACGUGGGUAACCUGCCCAUAAGACUGGGAUAACUCCGGGAAACCGGGGCUAAUACCGGAUAACAUUUUGAACCGCAUGGUUCGAAAUUGAAAGGCGGCUUCGGCUGUCACUUAUGGAUGGACCUGCGUCGCAUUAGCUAGUUGGUGAGGUAACGGCUCACCAAGGCAACGAUGCGUAGCCGACCUGAGAGGGUGAUCGGCCACACUGGGACUGAGACA